UGACGUAAGUUGUGCGAAACAAAAUACAGCAUGUAGCUCCAUGACGAUUUCACCUUUAAAUUAGGUGGUGCUACGACAAACCUACAGCAAACUGAGACUUUCUUCAGUUAAAAGGGACGAACAUCAUAUGUGUAAUUCAUGGCUCAAUCCCCCAAAAAUAUGUCUCUCCCGUUGACUACUGUGCAUAUUAUUUUCUGACAUAAGGCCCAUGAGGUCCACCAGAAGAGGGAGGAACUUUGCGUCUCUAUUUCACCACAUUUUCCCUACAAGCCUUAUGAUGUAAUGUCAUCCAACUAUGUAUUAAUGUUUAAAAACCAGCUUUGUGCAUGAAUGUUGUUGCUGUGUGUGUAAAGCCGAGUAACCGUGCUGUAGAUCUGGGACCGCCCGCUGUAGAAGUUACCUCACACGUCAGCAUUUUUUUC